rnacentral:tRNA from 1 species
GCCCGGGUAGCUCAGUCGGCAGAGCAGCUCACUCGUAAUGAGCAGGUCGUCGGUUCGAUUCCGACCUCGGGCU